AGUUUAGCCACUUCCGGUUCACGAUGUUAGUUCUUCAGUUCACAAAAAACGAGAAGGAGACGAGUUGUGUUAACUCUUACAAGCCUGGGAAAAGACAAGUCUGUUCCAAGUCCAUGUGAGGCUUUUUGUCCCGAGGAGCAGCUUCCAGCGCCGCAGGGUCUUCUUCUUCUUUCUUCUUCUUCUUCUGAUGGCGCUUCCUCUUUCUCCUCUUCUCCGUCCUGGAGUUAUCGUCGUGGAGAAUGAUGAGGUCUGUGUCGUGGGACGAGGGACACUCGGUGCCUUUCGGACACCAACCGAACG